rnacentral:rRNA from 1 species
UUGGAGGGCAAGUCUGGUGCCAGCAGCCGCGGUAAUUCCAGCUCCAAUAGCGUAUAUUAAAGUUGUUGCAGUUAAAAAGCUCGUAGUUGAACUUCGGGGUUUACCCAUUGGUCAGGCUUAAUUGUCUGUACUGGUGAGAUGAAUCUCUACCUUCUGAGGAACUUUCAUACCAUUUAUUUGGUGUGAUGGGAAAUCAGGACUGUUACUUUGAAAAAAUUAGAGUGUUUAAAGCAGACUAUCGUCUGAAUACAUUAGCAUGGAAUAAUGAAAUAGGACGGACUGAUUCUAUUUCGUUGGUUUCUAGGAUCACCGUAAUGAUUAAUAGGGAUAGUUGGGGGCAUUAGUAUUCAAUUGUCAGAGGUGAGAUUCUUGGAUUUAUUGAAGACUAACUACUGCGAAAGCAUUUGCCAAGGAUGUUUUCAUUAAUCAAGAACGGAAGUUAGGGGAUCGAAGACGAUCAGAUACCGUCGUAGUCUUAACCAUAAACUAUGCCGACUAGGGAUCGGACGAAGUUAAUUUUAUAAUGACGCGUUCGGCGCCUUACGGGAAAC